rnacentral:rRNA from 1 species
UACGUAGGGGGCAAGCGUUGUCCGGAAUCAUUGGGCGUAAAGCGCGCGUAGGCGGCCCGGUAAGUCCGUUGUGAAAGUCAAAGGCUCAACCUUUGAAUGCCGAUGGAUACUGCCGGGCUAGAGUCCGGAAGAGGCGAGUGGAAUUCCUGGUGUAGCGGUGGAAUGCGCAGAUAUCAGGAAGAACACCCGUGGCGAAGGCGGCUCUCUGGGACGGUACUGACGCUGAGACGCGAAAGCGUGGGGAGCGAACAGG